GGCUUGUCCAAUGGUAGUGGGUUAUCAGAACUUAUUAACAUUAGUGUCACUAAAGUUGGUAUACAACCCCCACUGCUAAAUUUGACUGGCUUUAA
rnacentral:Y_RNA from 1 species